GAAGCAGACAAGAAGCCAAACUGAACUCCAUGAUAUGCAAACUUAAUGAACUCUGUUGUGAAACCAUAGCUCAUUCUGCAAGGAGCAGGUCCUUGCUAGCUCUCCAGCACCGUUCAGGUAAAGAAGUCUUAAGCCCAGAGAAAAAGGAAUCUAUUCAAACUGUAGCCAACCACUGGCCUUUGAAAACGAAAGGUGACACCAUCUUUCAUCAAUAGGAAGUGGGAAACACAGAUUUCUUUCCUGGGGGACAAUGGGAAGACAUACAAAAAUAGUUCUGACUCACAGGUGUCUGUUUCAAUGGUUGCUAUUAAGAACCUAAUAAAACCAUGUAAUGCAUAGAUCAAUGUGGAUUUCUAUGAUAUAUUAUUUUAUUAUUCCCUAUUUUGUAAAGGUUCAAUGCUAGACCUAGCACUGCCAAAAUAGUGAGAUAAAUUUAACUGCAUGUCAGUAAAUGCCUAAGUACAUUUUUGUUUUUUAAAAAAAUGCUCUAUUUCAACAACUACGUGAAAAAUUAAUGCUGUCAAUCAUGCUGCAAUGGAUUUGCUGUAAUCUUUAGAAAACUUAGACCUACAAACACCCGUUCAAAUGGGAGGACACAUACGAGAACACUACACCUUAUGAGUGAACCAGGUUUAACGCACAGCGAUCUGCUCAUCUAGAAUUUUACAAGCUUCCCCGCCCCUGUAUUUUCUUAUUAAGUGAUCAGCAGACAGAUUUCUGUCUUUGCCUCCAUGUUUUCCCCUGAGAGAUCACUGCUAUAUCAUGCCAGUUACUCCCCACCCUCUAAUGCUAUGAAGAAGUAAGAGACAGUGGUGGGCUGGUGACAGCUACUGACUGGUCAGCCAGCUGUUGUCAAACAGUAUCUGGUAUCACAGGGUAUUAAAAAAAGCUAUGCAAAUUUUAGUAUUACAAUAACAUUACCAUAAAAUGCUUUCCUAAAGCACAGAUUUACAUGGGUGGAUAAAUAUAUAUUUAUUAUUUUAAUUAUUUAAAAUUAUGUGUAUUUUCAUAUAGCCAUUUUAAAGAAUGACAUCUUGUUCAGCCAGUACAGACAUUUUAAGCCAGUGUGGUUCCUUAGACUGGUAGGGGAAAGAUCUGAGGAUGAAAGUGCAACAUGCUGUAUUCAGCUUCACCUUCCACUAUGUUUUCCCCAAAUGAACCUUUGUAAAGUUGAAGGCAGGACGCACAAAAGAAUGCCAGUUAUAAAGUCAUAAUUAACAUCAUUCAUCCUCCAAAUUAUUUAGGGCCAAUUUAGUGGCAUUCCAAUAUACAUGUGGAACAGUACUUUGUUCCAAAAGCAGUUCCCCUGAAAAAUAUAGAAUAACAAUACAGGACUACAUACAGAGACAUAUGCUGCUGUAGGUAAAUUUAUUAAAGUGUGGUCUAUAGGGUGUGGCAAAGGAGAUUAUAAACACUACCACUAAAUGAAGUUUGAUGAUAUGUACAGCUCUACUGUUGGCUUUCUAUCUAAAAGCAUUAUGUGAAGUUGUUCAGGCAGAACAACAAUUCUGUGAUCUAGCUAGGGUGAUUAAAAUUGAAUUUAACUAGUUGUGCAACUGAGUCCUAAUUUGUACAGUUGUAUUAAGCUCUUUAAAACUGUUCCAUGGAAUGUUUAUAGUGAGAAACAGCAGAAGAAAAUUCUAUUUUAAUCUGAUUUCUGAAGUCGUCUAGAAAUGCUCCAUCUGACUACAUCACGAGUAAGAACACGACCUACGUUUUUAAGAAUUUACAAACUUCAGACUCAUAGAAACCUUUGAAAACAAAUAUAAGAACCUUGGGGUUUAAUUAGAAGCAUACAGCAGAAACACUAUUUAUAUUCAACAGCCACAAUUUCAGGCAUGUCUGCUGCUCAGGAUCUGAUUCACUCACUCGUGUCAACUACAGGUUUGCUUGAGGAUAAAGAUGAUAUAGGAUAAUGUGGGCUCUCACCCCUAUCUAGAUCUUCUUUGAUUAUGGGGAGAGAGACAGCAAAAUUAAAACUUGAAUCACAAAGUGAGAAACUGUUGAAUACCUUCAAGUAUGUUAAGUGCUGUCUAGCUUUUUCCAUAAUGAACUUGGAAGUUGGACAGCCAGCCAGUGUAUUUGGAUGAGAGUGCACCUGUAAUUUCCAGGCAUUCUGGGCACAAAUGAAGGAGAUAUAAUUGAAUACUAGACCUUAUGGAGUACGGAAUGACUGUAUGACUGAGUCUUUCAAUAUCAUUACUGAAAAGACAAAAGUUGGAGGACAUGUUGCUUAAGAAGAUGGAGGCAUAUUAAGAGAAAAUACAGGGUGCAGUUGGAUCUACGGCAGAUCAAUGCUUGGUUAAGGAAUUUGGAAAUGCUACGCAUUCUUGAAAGAAAUGAAGGAAAAAGUUUGUUUCAAUUUCUUAAAACUUAAGACCCCAAAUCUGGAAAAUAAAAAUGUUCUAAAACCAAAAAAAUUCAAUGUCCGAAAUAUUUUUUAUAUUUAAGUGCCAAAAAUUAGAAAAGAUUGACUUGUUGCUGAAAAUUGACAGACCAAGAAACAGGCAUUCUUGCAGAAGAACACUAUCAUAGUGCUGAUUUUCAAAAGAAUUUAGAUCCCACUUUUCUGAAGGAUUAACAUAGACUGUACUUUUCACAUGACAAUCUGACAUCUCAUAAACAAAUGUCAGACUAUAGAAGACUCUCUUCUAAUAUCAGACAUUUCUUCAGAUUUCAAAUGUCUUCCCAUAACAAUAUAAACUUCUAAGCAUAUUUCAACACAGUUUAAA